GCGAUGAAUAAAGCAAAGAAAAAAGAUGUGAAGCCAGAUUUUAUUACUGGUGACGAUUGGGCUGAAAUAAAGAGAACUUGGGAAAGUGAAAAAAUUAAGCAAAGGAGUGAACAAAAUGCCAAGAAUUGAGCUUCUAGUUCUAGUGAAGGGUCUGCGUCUGCGACAUAUGCUGGGGGCUCUAUCAACAUUAGGGAGCAUAGAAAAAGAAUGGCACAUCAAUUGGGGACCGAACCGACAUAUGCAGCUACAUUUGAACGCACAUUUCAAAAGAAAGAUAAGACAUGGAUUGGCGAUUGAGCAAAAUCUGUUAAGGAAAAAUAUGACGAGCUUUUAAUGAGUACUGCUAGUGGCGGUGAUGGUGGAGCUGCGUCGGAGCCAGCAGCUAACAAUAUGGCAUUAUGGGUGGAGGCAUCGGGUGGAAUGAAAAGAGAGAAAAUAUUUGGCAUGGGAUCCUUGUCGAGGAUAUACA